rnacentral:rRNA from 1 species
UGCCUUAGUAGCGGCGAGUGAAGCGGCAAAAGCUCAAAUUUGAAAUCUGGCGCCUUCGGUGUCCGAGUUGUAAUUUGAAGAUUGUAACCUUGGGGUUGGCUCUUGUCUAUGUUUCUUGGAACAGGACGUCACAGAGGGUGAGAAUCCCGUGCGAUGAGAUGCCCAAUUCUAUGUAAGGUGCUUUCGAAGAGUCGAGUUGUUUGGGAAUGCAGCUCUAAGUGGGUGGUAAAUUCCAUCUAAAGCUAAAUAUUGGCGAGAGACCGAUAGCGAACAAGUACAGUGAUGGAAAGAUGAAAAGAACUUUGAAAAGAGAGUGAAAAAGUACGUGAAAUUGUUGAAAGGGAAGGGUUUGAGAUCAGACUCGAUAUUUUGUGAGCCUUGCCUUCGUGGCGGGGUGACCCGCAGCUUAUCGGGCCAGCAUCGGUUUGGGCGGUAGGAUAAUGGCGUAGGAAUGUGACUUUACUUCGGUGAAGUGUUAUAGCCUGCGUUGAUGCUGCCUGCCUAGACCGAGGACUGCGAUUUUAUCAAGGAUGC